rnacentral:misc_RNA from 1 species
AAGUGAGGGUGUGAGCCGUGAGGGGUUCUCGUCUGUAGUGGACGAGGGCCGGGUGCACAACAACAGGCAAUCGCCAGACACACUAUUGGGCCCUGAGACAACACUCGGCCGACUUCGGUUGAAGUGGUGUCCCUCCAUCUUGGUGGUGGGGUGUGGUGUUUGAGUAUUGAAUAGUGGUUGCGAGCAUCAGGAGGUUCCUCCUUUCUAAGGAGCUCUUGGAGAUUGAUUCCGAGUAUCAGGGGGUGCCUCCUUUCUCUUCCCCCCCGGUAUUGGAGAAGGGAGGGGUGCGCGGUAACAGGGGGUCGCGUCACACACUAUUGUGCCCUGAGACCCCCCCCCCCCCCACCUCUGUUGAACGAUGUGCCUCCGUCUUGAUGGUGGGGUGUGUUUUUUUUUUAUUGGAAAAGAAAACAAAAACCACACGGGCCUUUUUGUUUUUUUAAUUUGGGAAUAAAAAAAUAAGAAAACAACACCCCUUGGGGCAAGUUUUUUUGGGGGGAGGGGCAGAAGUAAGAGACGGCCGGUGGGUCAUUGUUUUCAAUGCCUGG